ensembl:rRNA 5S_rRNA 5S ribosomal RNA
AUCUAUGGCCAUACCACCCUUAAUGUACCUGAUCUAUUCUGAUCUCGGAAGCUAAGCAGGGUCAGGCCGGGUUAGUACUUGGAUGGGAGACCAAAUGUGAAUACAAGGUGCUGUAGGCU